rnacentral:tRNA from 1 species
GCGUCGGUGGCAGAGUGGCGAAUGCAACAGGCUGUAACCCUGUUCUCCCUUGUGGAGCUAACACCGGAUGUUCGAGUCAUCCCCGGCGCACCA